GUGGGGAAUCUUGCGCAAUGGGCGAAAGCCUGACGCAGCCAUGCCGCGUGAAUGAUGAAGGUCUUAGGAUUGUAAAAUUCUUUCACCGGGGACGAUAAUGACGGUACCCGGAGAAGAAGCCCCGGCUAACUUCGUGCCAGCAGCCGCGGUAAUACGCAGGGGGCUAGCGUUGCUCGGAAUUACUGGGCGUAAAGGGCGCGUAGGCGGACAGUUUAGUCAGAGGUGAAAGCCCAGGGCUCAACCUUGGAAUUGCCUUUGAUACUGGCUGUCUUGAGUACGGGAGAGGUGAGUGGAACUCCGAGUGUAGAGGUGAAAUUCGUAGAUAUUCGGAAGAACACCAGUGGCGAAGGCGACUCACUGGCCCGUUACUGACGCUGAGGCGCGAAAGCGUGGGGAGCAAACAGGAUUAGAUACCCGUGUAGUCC
rnacentral:rRNA from 1 species